GACAGAGGGUGCAAACGUUGCUCGGAAUUAUUGGGCGUAAAGCGCGUGUAGGCGGCUUGUUAAGUCAUCUGUGAAAGCCCUCGGCUUAACCGGGGAAGUGCAGAUGAAACUGGCGAGCUUGAGUCCCGAAGAGGGUGGCGGAAUGCGCAGUGUAGAGGUGAAAUUCGUAGAUAUUGCGUAGAACACCAGUGGCGAAGGCGGCCACCUGGGAGACGACUGACGCUAAGACGCGAAAGCGUGGGGAGCAAACAGG
rnacentral:rRNA from 1 species